UUAAAUAAUCGAACACAUGGGCAGCCUUGUCUGUCACUCUGCCCACUACAAAUGCGUCGCCCGGCCCGCUGUUCAUCAAAGUCCCACAUCAUGAAACAGCCUGAGCCGCUGAUCUCCUUCUAAUUUAAUGAUAACUAUCACCUGUUCGCAAAGCGCAGCAAGACACUCUAGAUGGUGUGUGAGUAAUUGGCCUGUGCCUUUUGCUUGAUUAAUUUGAUUGCUACAUUUUUCACUGUCCCAUCUCUGGUGAUUGCUCUGGCACUACAGGUGCUAGGUUUCAUUAAUUACGUCCUUAAUUGGUUAGGAAAUGUUGCAGGCAAGUUUGUUUUGGGGGAAGGUUGCUUUUUUUGCGAACGGCAAAACAUCUCAGCAUGUUUUUCCCACUUAAAAAGAUAAAUUAACCUCAUCUUUUCUGCAGAUUGUGUUGAAGAUUCCAGGAGGUAUCAAUACUCAAGGACAACCAGCUGCGGGGACUGUUUGAUAGAAGAUGGAGAAGUCUGGAAGCUAAUAUGCAUUCUUGCCCACUUUUGUCCUCUGCAUGUAUUAUCUAAAGACUGAAAUCUCAGAACAACAGAAAGUUGACUGCAACUUCAGCAUGUCCCAGAGGUAACAUACUAUUGAAUACACAACUGUGUUUUUAGGUUCAUCUUGCAGCAUGUCUUUGUACAGAUGUAACCUGAAGCAAUGAUGAUGCUAAAGAUCCAGUGUCUGAAAUUUUACAUCUGGGACCGCAACAUUCAUUUUUUAUUUUCAGAUGCAAAACAUAUACAAUUUAAAUCACCAUGUGCCUCCAAUUCCAGUUUGUUUUCCUGGUUUUCUGGGGUUUUCUAUCAGAACAAGAAGUGUGACCAGGGCGCUGAGUAAAAAAGAAAUCCCUCAAGGAGCCUUUCUUCUGCCAUGCAAUUAUCACUUCAAAGAGUCAGUGAUGGUAAAUGAUACAGCUGUCUCUUUCCAUGAUGGGAUAUCCAUUCUUCUUUAAUAUAGUAUCAUGGUUUGCCUCUUGUUUGAUGUAACAUUGGAUAAAAGGGUGUGUUUCAUUUCUCAGAAUCAAAAAGUGACCAGUAGGACACAAGCCUGCAGUGGAUGCAGUAAUGCUGCCCUUGAGUGGCAUGAUGAGCAUCUCAAGAAGGGAGUUCGACCCAAUCUCGUACAGGUCAGCAGAGGAAAGACAAAUGAAGAGGAGGAGGCUGGAUGGAGGAAGUUGGAGAAUGAGUUAUGAAGAGUUUCCCAAUGAGGACUUCAUCUCUGUCGACAAAACAGGUGAGACAGGGUAAGAAGGAGGGAUGUUAAUGAACAGAGUGAGUGAGAGAGUCUGUCAGAGAGCAUGGCAUGAUUCAAUUGUAUGGACUGUGUGUGUGUACCAGGGGAAGAUGGUGACACUGAAGCCUUCUGAGAAUACUGUUUGGAACAGAGAGGGGGAGGGAAAGACAAAAGAAAAAAAGAAAAUUCAGAAUAUGAUCCACAAAAUGACCUUACCAGAUAUCAACCAGUCCAUAGAAGAAGAACAAUUAUAUUGAGGACGAAUGGCAAGUUGCAAAACAAAAAAUGUAUUGACUUAACAUGCAAACAUCCAAAGGGAGUUUUCUUCUGUAGGUGUUUGUUGCCACUCUUAAUUUGGUAAGGAACUCGCGAAAACCUGGAUUAUGUCCCGUCAGGUCUGAAGGGACACGACUUUGUUCAGAAUAGUCACCCAGGUGCAAAUAGCCCUUUUCAUCUGGGUGCAAAUAGCAUUGUUGACUAGUCAUCUGUGACCAAAAUGUCAUCUGCCUUGGAAAGAUACACAUUUGAAUCGUUUACCUUAUUUUAUCUCUGCAGGACUAACAUUUGAUUCUAGUUUGAUGACCACACACGUUCAGAAAACGACAACAACGUUGGAAGUCUACUUUAAAAGUGCAACUUGAAUAUUCAACCUCAACCUUGGGAACAUGAAAAGUGUGCAGUAGGUCAGACAUUCAGGUCAGAAAGAGUUGUCAUUCAGAAGUAAUCCAGAGUUUAAUAAAGGAGAACCACUCUAAAAAGCUUCAAUCCAUUCACCUAAAUGGGUUUCUUUUAUCUUCAUACAUUGAUAGUUUGCCGGAGGAUAAUUUCCAUUUGCAUUUAGCAUAUAUCUUCUCCCUCAAUGUUCAUGACAUCAAUUUUCUCCUGAUUUAUUAUAAUUUGAAUUAAAUGGGAUCUUUUCUCUUUUUUCAGAUCUAAGUUAGUAAUUAUUCAUUAACUUCCUGAUAAGUGUCCUUCAACGCACGUCAUUAACAUUUUCCCAGUUAUUUUCCAGCAGCUUGACUGGCAGUAUUACAUAAAACAUACCCCACUUGCUGCUCUCCAGGAUCCGAGGCAAUUUAAGAAUAGUAUUUUUCCCUCUCAUGAAGUAGGUCGCGGCUAAUUGCUAAUUUGACGAUGAAGAGCAGGAACAUACUGCGGUAGAAAUGACAUGCAAGGCUUAUCACAGCAGCUGUAUUAAUAAACAUGAGGACAAAAUGCCUGUGUAAUUUGUCUUUUGACAGCACAGACUGCACAUUGAUUUGUCUGUUGACGAAUUAGAAACACAUAAAACUUUCUUGAAUGUACAUCUUUGUGUAUUGUAGAAAAUAAACUGCACUCAAGCUGCUCAUUUAUUAAGGAAUAGGAUAAUAUAUUUCUGGCUAUUGGAUUAAAAUCAACAAGGUCUGUCAGUUUCUAAUUUCCGGUUUAACAAAACAUGUUACAGUAUGGAAUGAUUUAAAAGUUAAUAAUGUGCAGUGUUUAAUUGAGCUAUGAAAAAACAAGAUAUCUUCUUUCAUGACUGUCCGCAAAGCACACAUCAGCUCUGUGUUCUCAGAUUACGCUUAAUUGUUUUUCAACCUUAAUGGACCCUGGUUGCAAACAAGGUUUUAGCCCGCAGGCAAUGAAAAUGAUGAUAGAAAUGUUAUUAUGGUCAAAUUAAUUAAACUCUGUAAUUAGGUUAUAAAAAUGUCAUACGUCUCAGGCAAAGGAGAUAUUAGAGCGUCUUUGUUUAUAAUUAAUCACCUGAUAAGACUGGUAUUGACUUCACCCACAGUAACCUCUGGCUGGGUUUCUUAUGGAUGCCUUUCCUCCUUCCAUUGUUCCAAGAUUUAAAAGGUUUAUUGUGAUUCUGAUAUAUUUUUCAAGAGAGAUCUGGCAAAUAAUGCAAUAUAAAAUCAUUGUCACAACAAAGACGGAAUAAAACAGACAAAGACGAAUGUAACAUGCUGGAAAAGAGCAACAAAAAAACUACUUAAGUGUCAAAAUCUUCCCAUUUGUGAGAAAAGUGUUGCCCUGACAAACUCCAGAUUCUUAAGAAUGAAUAGAAUGUAACAAGACAAAUCUGACAAUUUAAGAUUUAACAGACUACAUUGAUAAAUCAGAAAAAUAAUCAGAUAACAUGACACUGUUACCUAGUUAGGAUGUCACCUGGGCGCCUCCCUAGGGAGGUGUUCCAGGCACGUCCAGCUGGGAAGAGACCAAGGGGUAGACCUAGGACCAGGUGGAGGGAUUAUAUCUCUUCGCUGGCCUGGGAGCGCCUUGGGAUCCCCCAGUCAGAGCUGGUUGAUGUCGCCAGGGAAAAGAAAGUUUGGGGCUCUCUGCUAGAACUGCUACCCCCGCGACCCGACCACGGAUAAGCGGGAGAAGAUGGAUGGAUGGAUGGAACAUGACACUGUACAAUAUGUCACUCUCGUCAAUCUACUUCUCAACAUAUUUACAGAUUUUUUCAGAUAAAUAUCCAGUGUUUACCCUACCAUUGUCUUGGCGGGGCGCUGCGCCCUGCCAACGGAGCCCCACGCCCCGCCUGAAAUUCAAGGUGUUUUUAAAACAUUUUUCAAUUUAAAAAUAAUAUAUAUAUAGCACCAAAUUGCAACUGAAGUAAUCUAUCUACGGUCACUUUUCACAUUGAACAUGUGCUCUUUUAUUAAAUAAACUAAACGCCUAUGUUAUUUAUCCAAUGUAUGUGCAUGUUUCAGUGUCCACUGCUUUGCGUAUAGAGUGGCGAAGUCACGCCCAUCUACUUCCACCCCUUGGGACCUUAUUUCUGAAAAAUUAUGUAUUGAAGUCAAUGGAGAGAGAAUACUUAUCUUUCGAUCCCGUUUGAAUUGUGCCAUGAAUUACACAUAUGUAAUUCUAAGAAUACACGUAAAUACAGUAAGAUUGUUAUUCACGUCGGUGGUAAUGAUGUCCGUUUACGCCAAUCAGAAUGCACCAAAGUUAAUGUGGCGUCGGUGUGUAGUUAUGCUAAAACAAUGUCGGACACCGUAAUCUUCUCUGGUCCCCUCCCCAAUCUGAUCAAUGAUGACAUGUAUAGCCGCAUGUCAUAAUUUCAGCGCUGGUUGUCUUGGUGGUGCCCAGCAAACAAUGUGGGCUUCGUAAAUAAUUGGACAGCCUUCUGGGGAAAACCUGGUCUGAUUAAGAGAGACGGCAUUCAUCCUACUUUGGAAGGUGCAGAUCUCAUUUCAGCAAACAUUUCAGAGCUUUGUGGACUUAAUCCAUGACAAACUGGAGUUGAGACCAGGAGGAGGAGUCGCAGUUUUAUAUGUUUCUCUGCGCUCUCUCCAAUAAAAUACCCAAUAUUAACGGUGUGUGUGUCUGCCCAAGGACAAUUUAAAGUAAAACCUAAUAGAGGUGUCACACAUAAUAACUUAAUAAAAGUAAA